UUUUGGAAGCUCACUGGCUUCGGAGUCAUGGGAACUCUGAAGUUAAGUGAGUUAGGACUAGAUCAAUACCAAGAUGGGUGACCCGCUGGGAAGUUGCUCGUGAGUUCCCAAAA
rnacentral:rRNA from 1 species